rnacentral:rRNA from 1 species
CCUACGGGUGGCAGCAGUGAGGAAUAUUGGUCAAUGGGCGCGAGCCUGAACCAGCCAAGUAGCGUGAAGGAUGACUGCCCUACGGGUUGUAAACUUCUUUUAUAAAGGAAUAAAGUGAGGCACGUGUGCCUUUUUGUAUGUACUUUAUGAAUAAGGAUCGGCUAACUCCGUGCCAGCAGCCGCGGUAAUACGGAGGAUCCGAGCGUUAUCCGGAUUUAUUGGGUUUAAAGGGAGCGUAGAUGGGUUGUUAAGUCAGUUGUGAAAGUUUGCGGCUCAACCGUGAAAUUGCAAUUGAUACUGGCAGGCUUGAGUGCAGUUGAGGUAGGCGGAAUUCGUGGUGUAGCGGUGAAAUGCGUAGAGAUCACGAAGAACACCGAUUGCGAAGGCAGCCUACUAAACUGCCACUGACGUUGAGGCACGAAAGCGUGGGGAGCAAACAGGAUUAGAUACCCUUGUAGUC